AUUGAACGCUGGCGGCAGGCUUAACACAUGCAAGUCGAGCGGGGUGAUGGUGCUUGCACUAUCACUUAGCGGCGGACGGGUGAGUAAUGCUUAGGAGUCUGCCUAUUAGUGGGGGACAACAUCUCGAAAGGGAUGCUAAUACCGCAUACGUCCUACGGGAGAAAGCAGGGGAUCACUUGUGACCUUGUGCUAAUAGAUGAGCCUAAGUCGGAUUAGCUAGUUGGUGGGGUAAAGGCCUACCAAGGCGACGAUCUGUAGCGGGUCUGAGAGGAUGAUCCGCCACACUGGGACUGAGACACGGCCCAGACUCCUACGGGAGGCAGCAGUGGGGAAUAUUGGACAAUGGGGGGAACCCUGAUCCAGCCAUGCCGCGUGUGUGAAGAAGGCCUUAUGGUUGUAAAGCACUUUAAGCGAGGAGGAGGCUCUUUUGGUUAAUACCCAAGAUGAGUGGACGUUACUCGCAGAAUAAGCACCGGCUAACUCUGUGCCAGCCGCCGCAGUAA
rnacentral:rRNA from 1 species